rnacentral:rRNA from 1 species
UGCAGAAUCCCGUGAACCAUCGAGUCUUUGAACGCAAGUUGCGCCCGAAGCCAUUAGGCUGAGGGCACGUCUGCUUGGGCGUCACGC